GAUGAACGCUGGCGGCGUGCCUAAUACAUGCAAGUCGAGCGAACAGACGAGGAGCUUGCUCCUCUGACGUUAGCGGCGGACGGGUGAGUAACACGUGGAUAACCUACCUAUAAGACUGGGAUAACUUCGGGAAACCGGAGCUAAUACCGGAUAAUAUAUUCAACCGCAUGGUUCAAUAGUGAAAGACGGUUUUGCUGUCACUUAUAGAUGGAUCCGCGCCGCAUUAGCUAGUUGGUAAGGUAACGGCUUACCAAGGCAACGAUGCGUAGCCGACCUGAGAGGGUGAUCAGCCACACUGGAACUGAGACACGGUCCAGACUCCUACGGGAGGCAGCAGUAGGGAAUCUUCCGCAAUGGGCGAAAGCCUGACGGAGCAACGCCGCGUGAGUGAUGAAGGUCUUCGGAUCGUAAAACUCUGUUAUUAGGGAAGAAAAAAUGUGUAAGUAACUAUGCACGUCUUGACGGUACCUAAUCAGAAAGCCACGGCUAACUACGUG
rnacentral:rRNA from 1 species